rnacentral:rRNA from 1 species
AUUGAACGCUGGCGGCAGGCUUAACACAUGCAAGUCGAGCGGAAACGAUGAUAGCUUGCUAUCAGGCGUCGAGCGGCGGACGGGUGAGUAAUACUUAGGAAUCUACCUAGUAGUGGGGGAUAGCUCGGGGAAACUCGAAUUAAUACCGCAUACGACCCACGGGAGAAAGGGGGCAACUUGUUGCUCUCGCUAUUAGAUGAGCCUAAGUCGGAUUAGCUAGAUGGUGGGGUAAAGGCCUACCAAGGCAACGAUGCGUAGCCGACCUGAGAGGGUGAUCGGCCACACUGGGACUGAGACACGGCCCAG